rnacentral:rRNA from 1 species
UACGUAGGGUGCAAGCGUUGUCCGGAAUUAUUGGGCGUAAAGAGCUCGUCGGCGGUUUGUCGCGUCUGCUGUGAAAACGCGAGGCUCAACCUCGCGCCUGCAGUGGGUACGGGCAGACUAGAGUGCGGUAGGGGAGAUUGGAAUUCCUGGUGUAGCGGUGGAAUGCGCAGAUAUCAGGAGGAACACCGAUGGCGAAGGCAGAUCUCUGGGCCGUUACUGACGCUGAGGAGCGAAAGCGUGGGGAGCGAACAGG